GUCUACAGCCAUACCACCCUGAACAUGCCCGAUCUCAUCUGAUCUUGGAUGCUAAGCAGGGUAGGGCCUUGUUAGUACUUGAAUGAAAGACAAUUAAAUAUC
rnacentral:rRNA from 1 species